rnacentral:rRNA from 1 species
AUUGAACGCUGGCGGCAGGCCUAACACGUGCAAGUCGAACGGUAACAGGAAGCAGCUUGCUGCUUCGCUGACGAGUGGCGGACGGGUGAGUAAUGUCUGGGAAACUGCCUGAUGGAGGGGGAUAACUACUGGAAACGGUAGCUAAUACCGCAUAAUGUCGCAAGACCAAAGAGGGGGACCUUCGGGCCUCUUGCCAUCGGAUGUGCCCAGAUGGGAUUAGCUUGUUGGUGGGGUAACGGCUCACCAAGGCGACGAUCCCUAGCUGGUCUGAGAGGAUGACCAGCCACACUGGAACUGAGACACGGUCCAGACUCCUACGGGAGGCAGCAGUGGGGAAUAUUGCACAAUGGGCGCAAGCCUGAUGCAGCCAUGCCGCGUGUAUGAAGAAGGCCUUCGGGUUGUAAAGUACUUUCAGCGGGGAGGAAGGGAGUAAAGUUAAUACCUUUGCUCAUUGACGUUACCCGCAGAAGAAGCACCGGCUAACUCCGUGCCAGCAGCCGCCGUAA